GCCAGCAUGGCGCAGUGGUUUGAGUGCUGGACUAUGACUCUGGAAAUCAGGGUUUGAUUCCCAGCUCAGUCA